rnacentral:lncRNA from 1 species
AAAAUACAUGCAUAAGAACGAAGAUAAAAACUUUUGGUAAAAUUUACGAAUUUACCCUUUCGACUAAUUUUAACUAAAAUCUGUUAAUGACAUGUAAUUCCAGGUUUGGGCAUUUUUAGUGGGAUCUUAUUCAUACGGUUCAACAUACGCACAGAGUAGUUAAUUAACACAUCAGAGUAUAUGACUAUCAAAAGGCAAUGACUAUUUUACCCUUCCAACUUCUAUAACCCACAUAUUACGUUUAUUGCAAAUUCUUUUCAAGUUAUUUAAAAUGUGGUUUUCUUAUUUGAGUAUUUUCUUAUUGUUUUUAAGGUAAGGACUGACAGGUAAUUGUCGUUCUAUUAAGGUGAUGAUAUAUUCUUGACUUGUUCUACAACUUUUGAUCUUGGUUAUUGCCAGGUAACAUGCCAUUAUUAUUAUUAUUAUUAUUAUUAUUAUUAUUAUUAUUAUUAUUUAUAGAGUAAAUCACAAUUUUGUCCUUGUGAUAUAUCUCAAAAGUUAUGGUUUUCAUCUAGAUAUUUCAUUUGUUGUACCAGAGGUCAAUAAAAGUAUAGUUUUGUUGCAAGGUUUGUCCCUGGUACUGAUGGUGUUGCAAAAUGCCAGUGAAGUCCAAGUGAAAUAUGACUAUUUUGCCCCUAUCGUUUUAUCCCUCAUCCUAUAUAUAAACUUAAAAUUCCUCAAUCUCCAUUUUAAACUCUAAUCAAACUAAUAGCGUAUCCUGUUUUUUGUAUAUGUGGGAUGUUCUAGACUUGCAUUUAGCCCCAACCACACUAGUGAAACUAAACCCAAAAGAUGUUGUAUCAUUUUUAAAACUUAUUACUCAGGUAACUUCAAAUCUUUUUGUUGAAUCAUAAUGUAGUGUGUUUGGCUUUGCUGAACUUUUUUCAAAUUUUGUCUUGUUAACAUACUUAAACAUUUACCUCCAAUAACAUGAGUUUUUUUUUCUUUAUUCGAGUUUUUAUUCUUUCAUACUGAUGUAUUUGCCAUAUGAAUUGGUGCUUCUUAGGGAAGUAACAACCAAUCACCCUUCUCUUUUCAUCCACCAAAACCAGAUGAUGUUGCUACAAGUGGACACCAAAGGUUUCUAUUUCUUAUUCACUAAUUAUUUUUUUUGUAUAUGUGGGAUAUUCUCCAUGGUUCUGAAUCUCGUUGUGUGUUAUUUAGAUGAUACGAAAAAGUUGAAGCUCUGUUUCAUUUAGCUUGUAGACAAGAAACUAAUUCUAUACUUCAACCCUACAGGCUAUAGAGCUUCAAAAUAAUUGCAAAUGUUGUAAGCAUCAAUCAGAUGUUCGACAACCAAAUGUUGAGGUAUAUAAAUUCAUCUGUUUACAAUGCUUUCAUGUUAAGUAACUUGUUUACUAGCCAAUUUACCCAUGUAGUGUAAGUUGUGGGUGACAAAGGAGUAGGUUAUUGCUGAUGCAUAGACCCAUCACCUAUUGAAAGUAUACCCAUCUGUGUAAGUUUUUCACCUAAUUAUAUUCUGUCAAACUUACACACAGUUCUAAGACUUCAAAUUUUAUCAUUUUAAAAUUAUUUAUUUAGCUUCUACCUAAUUUUGUACCAACAUGUGUGUAUGUGUAUCUUUUUCGGACACCAUGAAUCCUUUGAUCAUCCUGUUAGUUACAUGUAAAGUUUUUAAAGUCCAUUGUUUUUUUUCAUUCUUCCAUUUAAAUUACAUGGAUUUGAUUAUAAUGAAUAAAUGUGCAGGCUUUUUGGUUAUCAACCCCUGCUUCUUAAUAUGAUGGAUCCAAAGAUUCCAAAAAAAAAUUGUUUUUGUCCACAAAGAGCUUUUUCCUUAUGAUUUAAAAGUAUCAAAUAUAUAUAUUGUGAACUUCAUAAAGAGAAACACGAUGGGUGACCCAAAUCCUUGGGAAUUUUAUGUAAUACAAUUUGUUUUUUAAUCUUUUUCAUAAAGUAAAACCUGAAUGACUUGGAUUUUUUCAUAAACUACAAUUUUCUAGAAAAAUAACAAUUCUAUAUAACCAUCCGUAAACUUUUUUUUUCAGUUGCAACAGUUAUAGAUUGCAUUGCACUUUCAUCUUUUUUUUAUUAGGGCAUUAUGCUUUAAAAAAUUUACCCAAGUAUAAAACUGUACUUCGAUUUUUUUUUCUUAUUGUGACAUUAUCCUUCGAAUAAUCUACCUAAUUAAGAAGUGAAAUGGAUUUGUAUUUGGGGACACCUGGCAUGCUCCUUUGGCACGCCUCUUUUAGAAGCUGUAUGCUCGUUUCUGUUACGUUUCUCCAUGUUUUAAAGGUUUUGCUCAGAUUCUUGCAUGUUUUGUAAAUUUUGGGUUUUAAUUUAUCCUGAUAUUACAUCUGAUGGGUUUGAUAUUUAGUAUAUCCAACUGAUUUUGGAAAAAAGCUUAUAUCAUAUCAGAUUGUGUAUUGUUCCUGAUAUAAGGCCAAAUAACCUUUUUUUCUUUUUCUUUUUUAAUAAGUGCUUCACAGAUAUAGCGCUACCUGGAUAAUGACAUCUUAUAUUUUCUGGAUUUGUGUCUAUAUCUAUGAUUGACUUGAUAAAAAUUGCUUUCUUUUAGCAAAGAGUUCAAUCUAUUUUUUUCAUGUUGAAAAGUUCACUUAAUUUAAAAGUUAUUAAUGUCAAAUUCAUGUGCAUAUGUAAUUGUGGUCCGGUUGUUAGACUUUGCACGCUUUUCUUUUUACUAACUGAAAUUUAUGGAGUAUGGUUACAAAAAUGGAGAUUAUAAGUACUAACAGAUUCUCUUUUACUUCUAUAGUGGAGGAGUUUCUUGCUAGCAGUUAAACAGCAUGUUCUUAUUGUCAGGUUGGUGGUUUAGGUCCUAAUGGGAGACUUUUUUUGCAAUUUUGCUCCUUAUUUCAUGGUUUCAUAACGCUUUUGGUACCAGGGUUGUCAACUAGAUGUUAAAUUUAUGAAAAUGACCAUUUUGUCCCUUUCAUCAUCAUCUCUUUCAUUUCCAUAUUCAAGGAGCAUGAUGAAAUUUCAACAAAGUUCUCUCUCUCCUUAAAAACAAAAUUAUCAUAUAUGUUAAAUCCCUAAAAACAAUUUUUUUUUUUUUUUAAAUAUGAUAAUGCCUUUGGUCUAAACUUCAAACAGCCUAUAUGCUAAAAUUAUGAAAAAGACCAUUUUGCUAAUGUCUUUUUCAUCUCUUCCAUUUCCAUGUUGAAGGAACAUAUUUUACCCUCAACAAAAUUCACCACUUCUCUUAAAAAAUUAUUUGGCUUACGUUUAAGGAGCAUAACAAGUUUAACAACACAUAUGUUAAAUAUGUGUACAUGACCAUUUUGCCCCCGUUUUCUUCUUCUCUUUCAUUUCUAUGUUCAAUCAAAUUAAAUAAAACCUAAACAAAAUUCAUCUCUUUCAUUUCCACAUUUAGAAGUUAUUGUUGCUUAUAACAACUCAUUUUUUGUUUCAGAUCAUCAGAAGAGGUUAUUGCUGUGAAUAACUUUCAAGACCCUCUUGUGACCAAGUUUUUCCUAGGAAAACAACUUUACAACUCUUCUGUGACAACCUUGUGACCAAGUUUUUUAUAUUUUGGUAAAAUUGACGUAUUUACCCUUUUGGCUAAUUUUAACUAAAUCUGUUAACGACAUGUAAUUCUAGGUUUGGGCAUUUUUAAUGGGUUCUUAUUCAUAAGAUUCAACAUACACAGAGAGGCAGUAUGUUAGAGUACAUGACUAUCAAAAACCAUUGGCAGGUAAAUGACUAUUUUACCCUCCAACUUCCAUCACCUACAUAUUAUAUUUAUUGCAAUUUCAUGUUGUAGGGUUUUCUAAAAGCGUAUCAAAAGAUUCUGUGUCCCGUUUCUGUGUUGGUUGAUGAUAUAUAUAAGAUACAAUUUGAGAUCCUUUAUUUUAGGACCUGAUAUACAUGCCUUAUCUCCAAAUAUAUUCAAAAUAUAAUACAUAUAUCCUAGUCUAAUAUACCCCCGCAGUCGAAACGGGAGGUGAGCAGAUGUUGAGACUGCAACGGAAGUCAUCAAAUAAAACCCGAGGUAGUCCUUUAGUAAAAAUAUCAGCGAUUUGAUAACGAGACGAUAUAUGAUACACCCGAACCUGCCCGCGUUGAACCUUCUCCCGAACAAAAUGUAUGUCUAAUUCUAUGUGUUUUGUUCGCUGAUGUUGGAUUGGAUUGGCUGUCAAAUAAAUUGCGCUUAUCACAAUAAACAAUAGAGGCGCGAGAAUGUGGGUGAUUAAGCUCCAAAAGCAAAUUUCGAAUCCAACACAAUUCUGCCACAACAUUUGCCACACCACGGUACUCUGCCUCGGUACUAGAUCGGGAUAGAGUGGUUUGUCGCUUAGACGACCAAGAUAGCAGAUUAUUUCCGAGAAAAAUGCAAUAUCCCGAAAUGGAGCGUCGAGUGUCCAGGCAGCCGGCCCAAUCGGCAUCAGUGUAGGCUAUUAGGGAAGUAACAGGAGACUUAUGAAUGGUGAGACCGAAUGAGAUAGUCCCUUGAACAUACCGUAGAAUCCGCUUGAGUGCAUGUAGAUGUUAUGCUCGAGGUGCAUGCAUAUACAUGCAGAUUUGUUGCACGACAUAUGUGAGAUCGGGUCUCGUAAACGUUAAAUAUUGAACUGCCCCGACCAAGCUUCGGUAAGAAGUUGGGUCAUCAAUAAGUGGACCAUCAUUAGCACUUAGUUUUCCCGAUGUAUCAACCGGUGUGGCUACGGACUUACAAUGCAAACCAGAGGCUAUUUUGGAGACAGCGAUCCCAAGAAAAAAACUUAGAGAACCGAGAUCUUUCAUAGCGAAUUCAUGAGAGAGUUGAGCCAUCAACCGAUAUAAAAGUAUGUAAGUUUUUUCCUGACCGUGAUGAUAAAUAAAUAGAGAGUGAUCUGAUGCACUGUUUUUGAAACCCAAAGUUAGAACAUAAUCAGUGAACCUUUGGUACCAAGUGUUUUAACGCGUAGAGAGACCGUUUAAGACGACAUACGUGAUCAGGAAAACGAGAGUCUUGGAACCCAACCGGUUGAUGCAUAAACACUGUUUCAGAUAAAUGACCGUGAAGGAAAGCAUUCUUGACGUCGAGUUGGUGAAUCGGCCAAGAAUGAGAAACAACAAUGCUAAGGACUGUUUGAAUAGUAGCCGGUUUUACCACCUGUUGAGACCUGCCAUCACAAACAAGACGGGCCUUAUAGCGUUCUAGGGACCCGUCAGCAUUAGUUUUAUGUUUAUAUAUCCACAUACAUCGAAUUACAUUCAUAUCAGGUCGACGAGGAACAAGUUCCCACGUCUUAUUUUCAACAAGAGCAUUAAAUUCAUCUAUCAUGGCAGACUUCCAAACGGGAGUUGAAAGGGCGUCAGAUGGAUUUUUAGGAAGAGGAUAAAGGGUGGUAGCAUGUAGGUUCAUUGGAGCUUUAGGUUUGGAGGUAACGGUCCGACUUCGGGUUUGCAUUGGGUGACGAGUAGGAGGUGGUACUGUUGAUGUGGGGACAGUUUGUGAAGGUUGUUGAGACUGUGAAAGGGGCUGAUCAACAAGUUGGGAAGGGAUUGUUGGUUGUUUGGAGCGACGUGAAUAGGUGAGAAUGGUAGGGGAUCUAUCGUGAGUUGUAGUUGUGGUAUGAGAUCGAGUUGGGUUAUGGAUAAGAGAUGGAGAGGGGGUGAUUGUGGUAGGAGGAAGUUGAGAGCACCAUAUAGAUGGGUGAGGGUCGGUGUGGAGGAAUUGAUAGGAAGAGGGUGAUGGUUGUGGUUUUGAGAAAGGAAAGACAGUUUUAUCAAAGACUACGUGACGGGAAAUUAUUAUUUUGUUGGAUGAUAGGUCUAAACAUUUAUACCCCCGAUGGUUAGAAGGAUACCCUAGAAAAACGCAUGGGGAAGAACGGUUGGCGAGUUUGUGAAUGGUGGUGGGGAAGGGGUGAAGGGGAAAACAUAGGCAACCAAAGGUACGUAGAUGAUUGUAAGUAGGAUGACGUUUGUAGAGAAGAAAGGUUGGAGUGGUGAAGUUCUUUGUUUUGGCAGGUAGAAUGUUUAAAAUAUAAGUAGCAUUUCUAAGACAUGAUGCCAAAAACAAGGUGGUACUGAGGAAUGGGUAAGGAGAGUGCGUAUGAUAUUGUUGAUAGAGCGGAUUUUGCGUUUCACCUUACCAUUUUGGGGGGAAGUAUAGGGACAGGAGAAGCGGAAAGUCAUACCAUUGUGACAGCAAAAUUUAUGGAAGGCGUUGUUAUUAUACUCGGUACCAUUGUCACAUUGUAAGCAUUUAACUGUACGUUCAAAUUGAGUUUUAACAAGGGCAUGGAAGGAUAAAAAAGUAGAGAAGACCUGUGAUUUUUGAGAGAUUGGAAAUGUCCAAAGAUAAUUUGUAUAAUCAUCCAAAAAUAAAAUGUAAUAACGGUGACCACCCGAACUUAGAAUCGGUGAAGUCCAUAAAUCACAAUGAACAAUAUCAAACGCAGAACAUGUAAAUAAACUAGAUUCAAUAAAUGGAAGUUUAACUUGCUUGCCAAAAACACAAGAUUGACAUGUAAAUAAACUAGAUCUCAAGUUUUGCAGGGAUGAAGUUGUGGAUGUUUGUCACUGUGAUUGCUGGAUGUAGCUUAUCCAUAGUAGUUGAUUGAAGGUUGCGAUCGUUGAAAGGAAAGAAGAAGAAGAAAUCCGAUCAUAGGGGAGAAGGAGAAGGAGGAUUGGCGGCAAAAUUAGGAUAAAUCAAGAAGAGCGCUCUGAUACCAUAAAAGCGUAUCAAAAGAUUCUGUGUCCCGUUUCUGUGUUGGUUGAUGAUAUAUAUAAGAUACAAUUUGAGAUCCUUUAUUUUACAACCUGAUAUACAUGCCUCAUCUCCAAAUAUAUUCAAAAUAUAAUACAUAUAUCCUAGUAUAAUAUUUUCAUACAACAAUAGUUAUUAUUAUAGGUUUACAAAAAUUAGAGAAAUGAAUGGUUUGAUCGAGAUAGAUGUGGUAGCAAAUGACCAUACAUUUCAAAUUAUUUAAAAAGUUGCUUUUUUAUUUAAGUAUUUUGUCAUUGUUUUUAGCGUAAGUACUUGACAGGUUGGUCUGAUGAAGUACCCAAACUCAAGUUGGAAAAUGAGGUAAACUAAACCCCUGUUACAUGUUACAUCAGACCUUUUGAAAUCCUGGGAAAGGUUGGUCUGAUAGCUUACAAACUCAAGUUACCUCAAGAACUCAACAAAUUUCGUGAUACCUUCCAUGUGUGUAAUCUUAAGAAGUGACUCUCUGAUGAGAACCUUGUUUUCCUCUUGAUGAGGUCCAGGUCAACACUAAACUUCACUUUGUGGAAUAACCAAUGGAGAUCUUGGAUCGAGAAACCAAAAGGGUCAAACAAAGUCGCACACCUAUAGUAAAGGUCUGAUGGAACUCUCGUAGAGGGUCGGAGCUUACUUGGGGACGCGAAUAUCAGAUGAAGUAGAAGUACCCACAACUGUUUAGUGGUGCUCCCUCUAGUAGUGGAACUAAAUAAUAAUAUGAAAGAAAUAAUUUCCAGAAAAAAUUCCUUUAACGGGGAGGUAAUGUGACAUCCCAAAAUCUAAGUCAGUAGGCAGUCAAUUUAUUGUGAACGACAGUGUAGUAGGACCUACGUCAUAGUACCUCAAUGAUUUUAAAUGCAAAUGAAAUCAUGUUACUCGUAAGUGCCUUCGUGAUACCUCAAAAUGAAAUGCUCAAAAAUUUGACCAUUGUCAUCAAACAGUAAGCAGUUCAAAAACCAGUGAAAUAUGAUGUCGUAAAAAUCUUUUUUGCAUUUGACCUACAUAGGGGCCAUGGAUGAUGAAAUUGGAUAAAAACAUGUUUUUAGGACUGCGUGGAUAUAAAGAACGUCCAAAACAAAGAUCGUAUGAAAAAGUUAUCCAUGUUUUAAGUUUUUAAGCAAGUAUAUACCUGCUUUACCCGGUAUCGGACACUACACAACUCAUUUUGAGGUAGUUACCCAUCUCGUAAAUGAAUUUUGAUCAUGUUUCUAAACUCAAGUUUCGGUCUAGUAUUUGAUUUUACUAUUCCAGUAUAUUUAGCUCGGAACCAAAUCAGUUUCGCAAAAACUGACGAAUAAAAACCCGAUUGACGUGAAACUUCAAACACUGUUUUACGGAGAUCCGUAUAUCGGAUUUGAAUUCUGUUUGAAUAUUUUAAAUCAUCAUAACUAUGAAAUUAUCCAAGCACUUUCGAAAUAUUUUUAUGUGCUCUGAAACUGACGUCACGUUAAUCGAGGCGACUUGUGUGCGAGAUAAAUCAAGGAGGACACCAAGGACAUGCUUGCAUGCAUGCUUAAAAGGAAGAGUCGGCAGUGUAGUAGGACCUACUGUAAAAGGAAGAGUCGGCAGUGUAGUAAGACAAUCAAUUUAUUGUGAACGACAGUGUAGUAGGACAUGCUGUAACGCCCGUAUAUCCGGGCUAGUCAAUUUAGAGACGAUAAACAUCAAAAAUGACUUUUUUGAUGGAAGAUUAUUUAGAAGGAUUAAUAUUAACUAAGUUGUAGUAUAUGUUACAAGGAUUUUGUACAUAUAAAGAAUGCCAAAAUCCGAGUUAUAACGAAUAAGUUAUGACCUGUCGAAGUUUCGCGACAGAACCGGCACGGCACAACGCGACGUAAAUAGUGAAUUUACGUUAGAGUGAUGUUUAGCCUUAGUGAUCUAAACGAAAGUCGUAUUGUUCGUUAAACCGAGAGCGUGCAUAAAACGAACGCCCAAAUCUGACUUCGUAUGAGAAAGUUAUGAUUUUUUGAAGUUUCGGCUUAGCAGUGUACAUCCCAAACUUUGAAUAUGAGAUCGAGCGAUAUUUAUCCGAAACAAUCUAAACGAGAAUUGAAGAUCUCGUCGAUAGUAGUCCAACGGUGAAAAGACAGACGAAAACGGACGUCAGUCGAAGGAGUUAUGAUUUUCGAACGGAGUUUUACUGUCCCGGCCUACUAAAAAUAAUAUAUUAAAAAUAAAGUAAAAAUUAGACGACGGAGUCUAAAUGAAAGUUGUAGAUCUUGUUCUCACCUAUGUGUCGAUAUAAAGAAUGUCGAAAACGAAGUUCGUAUGCGAAAGUUAUGAAUUUCUGAAGUUCAGAACGCGAAACCCCAAGACUGUCAGAAACCAAGAUGUAAACAGUGCCCACGACGUGGUAUGUUUUCUGACGACUCCUGGAGUCUGCCAGACCCAACUUGCGAUGACGCAUGCAAUAAAGACCCAACUUGGUAUGUUUGUUUACUUGAGAUGGAUGUUGAAUGAAUGUUUUAUACGAGCUUUUAAAAAGUUUUAAACUGUAUAUCUAAUUUAUAUCUACAAAUAUGUUGGGUAGAACAUGGGUAGAUAAAAUAGUUGGUGUGUGAUUAAAUAAUGUGAUAAGAGAUAGGUGAGGAUAUAAUGGUGAUGAUAAUUAAGUGAUGAUAGAUAGGUGAUGAAUUACGAGUCCAGGUGAUGUUGUGUCUGCAUACUUAUAUGAUGAUAGUCUAACCCUUAUUAUGAAUUACGAGUUCAGGUGAUGUUGUGGCUGCGUAAUCAUAUGAUGAUACCCUAACCCUUGCUAGACAUAUAUUGAGGGAGUGAUCCCCGAAUUAGUAUUGUCUAUGCGAUGUAGGCGAUGAUCCUUAUGAAAAGUUCUUAGGAACAAACAUAUAAGGAAAUAAGAUGUAAGGAGAUAAGAGGUAAACAUGAUAUAAGAGAUGACCUUUAGGAUAAUAUCUUUAGGGAAGAUUAAACGAAGAUAAUGAGGAUGGGUAAUUGUUUGAUAAUUAAAUAUAAUAAUUAUUUUAUUGUGGGUUGAAAACCAUAUACGCUCACCAAGCUUCCAAGCCUGAUCCACUCAGUUUUCUUUGCAUUACAGGUAAUGACACAAAAGUAUAAGUUGGUGGACCUGACGAGAGAUAUUGGAUUAUAGAUUAGUAGUUAUAAAUAACUAUUGUAAGGUGUAUUUUAUACUGUUUAGCUUUUGGCCUGUAUCGAAACAUGACAUCCCG